GUGCGGGACCGCAAGGCCGCAUGCCAUGAGAUGAGCCCAAGUGGGAUUAGGUAGUUGGUGGGGUAAAGGCCUACCAAGCCGACGAUCUCUAGCUGGUCUGAGAGGAUGACCAGCCACACCGGGACUGAGACACGGCCCGGACUCCUACGGGAGGCAGCAGUGGGGAAUAUUGCGCAAUGGGGGCAACCCUGACGCAGCCAUGCCGCGUGAAUGAAGAAGGCCUUCGGGUUGUAAAGUUCUUUCGGUGACGAGGAAGGUUGUUGUGUGAAUAGCGCAACAAAUUGACGUUAAUCACAGAAGAAGCACCGGCUAACUCCGUGCCAGCAGCCGCGGUAAUACGGAGGGUGCGAGCGUUAAUCGGAAUAACUGGGCGUAAAGGGCACGCAGGCGGCUAUUUAAGUGAGGUGUGAAAUCCCCGGGCUUAACCUGGGAAUUGCAUUUCAGACUGGGUAGCUAGAGUACUUUAGGGAGGGGUAGAAUUCCACGUGUAGCGGUGAAAUGCGUAGAGAUGUGGAGGAAUACCGAAGGCGAAGGCAGCCCCUUGGGAAUGUACUGACGCUCAUGUGCGAAAGCGUGGGAGCAAACAGGAUUAGAUACCCUGGUAGUCCACGCUGUAAACGCUGUCGAUUUGGGGAUU
rnacentral:rRNA from 1 species